CAGCACCACCGGCUCCGGAAUCACCACCACCAGCCUCCAUCCCCUGCCAGCUUUGGCAGCACCACCACCAGCACCGCCGGCCUCAGGACCAAGCCCACCACCUGCGGGCGUUGACGGAGGCGGGUGUGCGGCUCUGGCGCAGCUGAGCCGUCGACCGCCGGAGCCAAUCCGGCAGUCCGGCAUUUCAGCUGCCGCACACUCGCCCGUCACAGCAUCAGAGGCCUCCCC